UACGUAGGGGCCUAGCGUUGUCCGGAAUUAUUGGGCGUAAGAGCUCGUAGGCGGUUCGGCAAGUCGGAUGUGAAAUCUCCACGCUUAACGUGGAGGGGCCAUUCGAAACUGCUGUGACUCGAGUCCGGUAGGGGAGUGUGGAAUUCCCGGUGUAGCGGUGAAAUGCGCAGAUAUCGGGAGGAACACCAGUAGCGAAGGCGGCACUCUGGGCCGGUACUGGACGCUGAGGAGCGGAA
rnacentral:rRNA from 1 species